CUGCUUGGGAGCAGAGCAGUUAAGUUGCCUGCGCGUGCAGGCAACGACUGAGGAUUUUGCAUGCUGCUUUAGAGAAAGGCAUCUUAGAACUUUGAAAAGUGAAAUCGACCGCAUCUUGGAAGAAAAUGUAAAGCAGAAGAUGUCCCUGGAUAAUCUCUAAGUGAGCAACAAGCGCCUCCUCCUCCAGGUUGAGUAACUGAGAGAAACUUCAGCCUGCUUUGACUUUGAGAACCAGGAUUACUCAAAGGGCUGCCAAAAUUCUGAUUAAGUUGUUGUUUGGCUGCUAUCUCUUUGACCUGUUCUUUGCAUACACUCAUUUUUACAAUCCAGAAUUCAUCUCUGAAAUGUUUUGGGCAUUCUGAAGUGACCGGAGCAUUGACUGCCUUAUGCACUGUUCCCCCCUCCCCCUUGACAUAUCUCUACUGGAGAAAUUAGGGCCUUUUGCUCUUUCAAGAAAGGAAAGAGAUUCUUUCUCUUCUUCACUUGACAUUACCUAGAAAAUUCAUUUUAAGGGUCCUAAACCCCUUAAAAAGAAUGCCACUCAACACAGGAGUGAGUACCUCCCACCAGGACUUGAGCGAUGAUUUCCACUGGCAACAUUGCCAAACCAUUUUUAACCUCUAAGCAAGCAGAUGUGUCUCCAUCAACAUAUCUCUCCUGUUCCUCAAUCAGUUCCUGCUCCUCUUCUGGAGGAAGAAGUUGAGAUAUGGAAGAACAUCCAGCAACCUCAACCUUCCCUUUCCAAGAUCAGCCAAUCAGCCUGUCAAUCCUUUUGCAUUACAAAACCAUGUGGACAGGAAAGGUUUGUGGGAGAGGCUUUUGCAGCCCACAAUACUUCCAAGCCAUCCCCAGAAGAUAGUGGUAGUCCCAGACAUCCUGUUCCAGGCUGCUGACAUCAUCUAGCAUAUCUUCCCAUUUUUGGGGAAAGUCCCCUGAAUGAUAGUGCUUCCCCUUUAGCCCCAAAGAUGGACUAUGACCUGUCCUUGGGUGGCUCUGCAUGGCAUAACUCAUAGUUUCCUCCAGUUUUGCAAGCUUUUUCACCAUGACAAGGCAGUGAUCCAUAAAAAGGCUCAAAUAGGUACCUAUUUGAAUUAGAGUGGGGUUCCAGGAGU